rnacentral:lncRNA from 1 species
UCGGAUUCCGCUGCCCAAACGGAAAUGUCUGCUCGGAACAGUAACCAAACACGUGCUGUCGUCUGAGAAAGGGGUUACAGAAGGCUGCAAAUAAUGAUUACAGAACAGAUGAUUAUUAAAUCAUUUAUAUCCAUGAUUAGCUGAUAUGAACAGAUAGCCAGCCACAGCAUGUACAAUUUUGCGUGUUUCUAAAGUUGUUCUUGGUGAAUGAAGACUUAAUUAAAACGACAACCAUUCGGCCUAGUUAAAUUUAUAAUUUCAAUUAAGUUUGGGGAUUCCAUACAUGCGAUACAGUCUCCGGCUACUAUUCGAGAGUGGAAAUAUGACCUCCCUAUUUGAACUCUCGAAAUUUAUGGGUUGCACUAGAAAGAGUCUUUUAAGUUUUUUAGCCUGUUAGACCCUCGGAUUGUGUUUGGUUAUUUCGAUCAGCAAGCAGAUUUUCGAUACGAACAAGUAUCAGCCAUCACCAUUACAACUGAUACGAGAUAUGGUCUUCCUGACAUUUGAUGAGGUUGUAUUCCAACAGAGUGAAGGUAAUGCCACCUGACAAGUGAGAAAUAACCUCAAAGUCAUUUACCAGAAACAAAAUACAGAUAAUCAAGAAAGAAAAAACAUUGACUAUCAUAUGAUUCCAUGAAACAAAUGUGGCCUCGUCAAUUAUUUUUUUGGCACCAGAACUUGUUAGCCAAGUCAACUGGUUUUUGACAUCUUUAUGCAAAUGGCUAUUUUACUCGUCCUCUCCAUCUGAAGAUAUGUCAGCUUCUGACUAGUGGGAAAGGAUAGGAUACCUUCGAUUUAGAGGAGAGAGCUUCUGUCAACAAUGUAUCUGUACACUUGACUGACCGAGUUCACAAGAUUUGUCCCGACAGUUUGCUCGCACACUUUUCCUAGUCCAUUAUCUUGUUGACAAGGACGAAUAUUAGAAUGACGGCCGAAAGUUCAAGCAUGAAUCUAGGACUGUUGAUAUGUUCGACAAGUCGCUGCCACCUGUAAGUUCAACCAGUAGAUAGCUGC